rfam:Microgenomates bacterium GW2011_GWF1_44_10 TW18_C0004, whole genome shotgun sequence.
AGAAAUGUAAACUCAGGCAAAUAGUGGAUGCCUUGGCAAUAUGUGCCGAAGAAGGACGCACAAGACCGCGAAAGUCGUCGGGAAGCUGUCACGAAGCAAUGAUCCGGCGGUGUCCGAAUGGGGCAACCUUUUCUGGGUUAUUCCAGAAAAUUUUUCUUUAUUGAAAAAGGGGCACGCACCAAACUGAAAUAUCUAAGUAGGUGCAGGAAAAGAAACCGUAUGGGAUUCCCUUAGUAAGCGACGAGCGAACAGGGAAUAGUCUAAACCAGCAUUAGCUGGGGUUGUAGGAGCCAAAUGUUCGAUGUGAAUUUGUAGCAGAACGCCAUGGAAUUGGCGACCAAAGAGCAUGAUAGUUGCGUAUGUUAAACGAAUUCACACGAUAUGGAUUUCCUAAGUACUUUCGGAGACGGCAAACUCCGGGAGGAAUCUGGGGCGACCACGCUCCAAGACUAAAUACGCAUAUUGACCGAUAGUGAACGAGUACCGUGAGGGAAAGGUGAAAAGAAGGGUGGAACACCCAGUGAAAUAGCAACUGAAACUAUUUGCUCACAAACAGACAGAGUCGGGUUAAACCGAUGAUGUCGUGCCUAUUGAAGAAUGAACCGGCGAGUUAUGGUGUACUCCGAGUGUAAGCUGUUGUCACAGCGGACGCGUAGUGAAAGCGAGCCUGAAUAGGGCGCUUAGGAGUUCACUAUAGACCCGAAACCAGGUGAGCUAACCAUGACCAGGUUGAAGGUAGGGUAAAACCUAUUGGAGGACCGAACCGUUCAGCGUUGCAAGGCUGUCGGAUGAGUUGUGGUUAGAGGUUAUAUGCCAAUCGAACCUGGAGAUAGCUGGUUCUCCCCGAAAUAUAUUUAGGUAUAGGCUCGUAUGAACCCUUCUGGGGGUAGAGCACUGGAUGGGUGUCCUCGGCGCAAGCCGAAGCAUCUAACCAAACUCCGAAUACCAGAAGGCGCUGUACGGGACUCAGAACGGCGGAGCUAAUUUCGCCGCUCAAAAGGGAAACAACCCAGACCAUCGUCUAAGGUCUCUAAACACAUCUCAGUGGUAAAGGUAGUCACAAUCCUCAGACACCUAGGAGGUCGGCUCAGAAGCAGCCAUCCUUGAAAGAAAGCGUAACAGCUCACUAGCCGAGGUUUAUGGCGCCGAAAACGUAUCGAGGCUCAAGUUGUGUACCGAAGACGUGGAUUUUAUUUCGAAAGAUGUAAAGUGGUAGGGGAGCGUUCUCCGUGCUGUGAAGGCGGCGGGUAACCGAUCUGCUGGAGCGAGGAGAAGUGCGAAUGCCGGUAUGAGUAGCGAUAAUGAAGUGAGAAUCUUCAUCUCCGAAUGUCCAAGGUUUCCGCACCCACGUUCGUCGUGUGCGGGUUAGGCGACCCUUAGGCGAGGCCGUUUGGCGUAGCUGAUGGAUUACCGGUUAAUAUUCCGGUCCUUGGUAUGUUUCGUUACGACUUGGGGAGGGACGGAAUCGGAUAGCGCAAACGCUCCGAUGAACGAGUCGUUGAACCGUCGAGACAGUUCCCGCAGGCAAAUCCACGGGGGCGUUUAUUCGAGACGGGACCACGAGCGCGAGGCGAAAGCCGAGCGCAAGUUGCGUGAUUUCAGUUUCCAAGAAAAGCUUCGCAAGCAGAAACAUGCCAAAUCGUACUGAUAACCGACACAGGUGGACUAGUCGAGUAGACUAAGGAGAGCGAGAGAACAUGGUUUAAGGAAUUCGGCAAAACAACUAGGCGUACCUUUGGAAGAUGCCUUCCUCUCCGCAAGGAGAGGCUCAGCGAAAGAUUUGAGGUCGACUGUUUAACAAAAACACAGGUCUGUGCAAACUCGAAAGAGGAAGUAUACGGGCUGAGGCCUGCCCAGUGCCGGAAGGUUAACUGCGAGAGUGGUAUCGCAAGAUACUGCUUUCAAUUGAAGCCCCGGUGAACGGCAGCAGUAACUAUAAAAACAUUGUAGUUAAAAAAGUUGGCUAUAUGCUGGAAACUCUCGAUAAGUUGUUUGUACUCAUUUGAUUUUUCGCAAGAUGAAUCAAAAAGUGAAAAUCAAACAAAUAGAGACAAUCAGCAGGGAAGUCUUGUUUAUAUGUUUAUAAACAUGAUCCCUCAGAGACUAUACGCCGACCUGUUUCUUAACAAGAAACAGAUGAUAUAGUCCGACCUUUAUGGAGACAUAAAGAUUGCGACAGAAAUGUUCGCAAAGCAUCCAUCAAAAAAGACGGAUGUAUCAACAAAUGUGAACUGUUCUAUGGUUAAGGGUAAAAACCGUUGCCAUAGUAAAAUUGUGCCAUAUGCUGGAAGAGCUGUGCUCCGAGAUGGUACCUCGAGAGCUGAAGAUGUUGAACUAGUUGAUGUUUGGGUAAGAUUCGGGUAUUAUGAAAAUAAUGCCCACAAUCUCAAACACAACUGACAAUGUUACAACUGCAGCAAAUCAGCAGGAAAGACUUGUUUUGUCUGGAUGGAUUGUAGGGUUUGUUGACGGAGAAGGCUAUUUUGGUGUUUCUGUGUGUAGAAAUACAUCAACACGUUAUGGUAAACAAAUAUUACCAGAAUUUGUUGUUACACAGAGCAUUAAAAGUUUGUCAUCUCUCCAACAAAUUCAGAAGUUUUUUAAAUGUGGUCGUAUAUAUGUAAAUCAUCGACAUGAUAAUCAUCAUGAUGAUAUUUAUCGAUAUUGCGUUCGCAAUCUAGAAGAACUUCAUCAGAUAAUUAUUCCUUUUUUUCGAACAUAUGCUUUACAAACUUCAAAACGGAAUGACUUUGAGCUUUUUGAUCAAGUUGUUUCAAGAAUGAUUUGUAAAGUUCACUAUUCAAUUGAAGGAAUGGAUAAUCUCAUAACAUAUAUUCAUCAGUCAAAAACAAGAAUCCUCAACGACUAUACGCACAACACGCGACCAAACGCGUGAAGAUAUAGUCUGAUCUCAUGGGCGACCAUGAGCGUCUGACAGAAAUGAUCAGACAGACUGUUCAGCAAUGAACAAUCGAACAAGAAGUUUAUGAGCGAAGUACCUUGUCACUUAAUUGGUGACGCGCACGAAAGGUGUAACGAGCCUCAAACUGUCUUGAACCAUGACUCGGCGAAAUUGAAAUGGCUGUGAAGAUGCGGCCUACUGGCAGUAGGACAAAAAGACCCCAUGGAGCUUUACUACAGCUUGACACUGAUGUUUUAUGUGGAAUUGUUUAGUAUAGGUGGGAGCUUUGCCACUCGUUGGCAGAGCAACAGUGAAAUACCACUCGUUUUAUAUAGAAUAUCUUACGUACCCUUUCUGCAUACGAAAGGACGGACACUGUCUGGUGGGUAGUUUAACUGGGGAGGUUGCCUGCGAAAGGGUAUCGCAGGCGCACAAAGGUAUCCUUGGUCCGGAUGGAAACCGGACUGGAAGUGCAACGGCAUACGGAUGCUUGACUGUGAGGCAAACAAGCCAAGCAGGUGCGAAAGCAGGUCAUAGUGAUCCUCGUGUACUUUGUGGAAGGUACCGGGCUUAACGGAUAAAAGCUACCCUGGGGAUAACAGAGUCAUCGCGCCUAAGCGUUCCUAGCGACGGCGCGGUUUGCUACCUCGAUGUCGGCUCAUCCCAUCCUGGGGCUGGAGAAAACGCGCAUUUUUAUUUGCGCACCUUCUCUCCUUUUAGAAAUAAAAGGUAAUUAAACAAGCUCAAAACGGAGGAGGCCAUAGUAUUGCAGGUCCCAGAUUUAUCUGGUACUUUGAUAAUAUGGUUGGUUCCGUAGGAAAAGGAUGUUCUUUAGUUGAACGAGCGUAUCUUGCUGGUCUUUUUGAUUCAGAUGGAGCUAUUAUGGCUUCGAUCGAAUCUCAUAAAGAGAAACGAUUCAAAUUUCGUGUUCGCGUAAUCUUAAAAAUUACGCAGAAAAAUCUUGAUGUGUUGCACUGGGCGUAUUCACACACGCACCUUGGACGCAUUCAGAAAAAUAGAACAACGUCAGAUUGGAUCGUGAAAAAUCAGCAUGAUUGUGAAACCAUUUUACGUUUGAUUCUUCCGUAUAGUAUUGGGAAACGAAAGCAGGUUGAUCUUGCUCUCGAUAUCUUACGAUAUACCAUAACUUCGAAAGAUGAUUUGUUGAUGGUUGCUCGGUUAGCAGACUCUUUGAGCAGUUUUAACGUUCGUUCGCUCGGAAGGCGAAAGAACUAUGCGUCAAAGAUUCUUGAACAUUCUUCCUCUAACGACUGAUUGUGAUUUCCAAAAAAUCACAUGAGAUAGAUCAGAUUUACGUCAAGAUCUAUCAUACGGCUUGCAUCUGACUGUGUGUUGGUGACAACACAUAAAAGAUGAUGGAAUAGUCUUACCCCAAAAGUGAUUUUGGAAGGUACGAGGUCCCAAGGGUUGGUCUGUUCGCCCAUUAAAGGGAUACGCGAGCUGGGUUCAGAACGUCGUGAGACAGUAAAGUAAUAAGGCCUUGCGGUCUCAGCUGUAGUUUGACGUUUUUGAAUAUUUCUAUUUAUCGAGAUCUGUUAUAAAAAAUACAGCAGUGGUAAUACCACUAUAAAUUCGACUAAUUGCUGGAAACUCUUGUUAAUGGUUAUCUACUUAUAUGCAUUUUGCAUGCGAGUGAAAAUGGUAACCCAGUCAAUUUUGACGCAAGACAAUCAGCAGGAAAGGCUAUGAAAAUAAAUGAAUGAUCGUCAUUUUCAUAGAAUCCUCACAGGCCAUACGUCGAACACACGUUUGUGUGAAGAUAUGGUCGGAUCUUUAUGGCGACAUAAAGCGCGAAAGCGAAUGUACACAAGUACAUAACAUUUUGUCGGCCUCUAUCCACUGCCAGCGUUAGAUAUCUGAGGGGAUUUGCUCCUAGUAAAUAUUGCUACUUCUUUCAGAAAUGAAAGAUGAAACACUUGCUCAAAUCGGUGAAAUCCAUUACAUUAAAGCCAUGGUCCUAUGGCUGUAAAGGACAAUACCGAGGGAAGAUGAGUGUGAUAGAUCACGUAUUGAUCAUCAUCUCAUCCCCGUAACGACUGGAUCUCGUUCGAAUUCGAACGAGUGAAGAUGGAAUUUUAUUCCAUAACACGGCAAGCACCUUCCUUGUGUUCGCACAAAAAGGUGAAGGUAUAGUCUAUCCUUCUGGUAACAGAAGAUUCGAUGACGAGAGGACCGGAGUGAGGGAAUCCCUGGUGUUCCUAUUGUCGCUGUCAAGCGCACUGUAGGGUAGCCACAUUCUUAUUGGAUAACCGCUGAAAGCAUCUAAGCGGGAAGCCGACCCCAAGAUGAGAUAUCUCCAUUUAGACCCCUGCGAGAACAGCAGGUUGAUAGGCGGACGGUGUAAGUCUGGCGACAGACUAAGCUUAUCCGUACUAAUCGGUCGAUUGAACAUUUUUAG